UAUUAGAGCGCGAGCAGCGCCCCCGUCAUGCGUCCCUUUUUCUGAGCGAUGGCGAGCGAUUGUCCUUUUCCUAAUGACCGUGUUGUCGCGUCCCGGUGAAGAGCUGUCAUUGGAAUAGAUGGGAGGAAGUGGCGCGGGCCGUGAGAGUAAUUAACAGCGAGAUGGAGGGAGCAGCGGAGAGGCACCGGGUGGUUUAGCCGUGUUUAUGCGGUGCAGGAUCCUACCAUUAAGGUGCUGCGUCUCUCGAGUGCUUAAAGAUGACUGGGAGUGACUGAGUGCCCGGUCCAAUAAGAGCCGUGAUGAACAACUCGGCAGAUUGUGCAAUCACUCACUUGUACCCAUCAGCAUCACGUGGACAGGCACGGAGCGUACAAUAAAAUAUGCCAUCAGGCUUUGUGGUUCACAGGACUGUGGAGGAAGCAGAACCGCGCCAAACCCGGUGAAAUGUACAUUAACCCAAGCCAGGCUUCUAACUUAUAUCUUUAAAAGGCGAAGAGGUCGCCCUGCCUGUUGGCUUCAUCUGGGAGGUUACAAUUGUCUGGAGGAGGAGGUGACCCCAGCCUAUUGAUUGGGAUGCUGCCUUGCAUCAGACUCCCGAGGGAUGUGGAAGACAGAGAGCAGCAAACAUCUCAAACUUGUGGGAGCCGGUUUAUUUCAUCAGAUCGCAGGGACCCAGCUAAAACCCCCAAUAACAGGAUGAGAAGGAUAUACGUUUGACUGGAGCCCGCUGCUGCCAGGUCCAGAGUGUGGCUGAGGAGACAGGUUCAGCCCAGAGCUGGGGAGGAUCACGUCCCCUCAGAAGAACACAACCUGCCACACAAUUAUCCCCCCGCAGUGUCUCCCCUCUCAGCCUGCUUCUGCCCGCGUCACUCGGUCCAGAGUCCUGACCGCGUCAAAUCAAUGUCACAUUUAAAUGUUAAUAGAAUCCUAAAUUAUUCACCAUGCGGUUCGGCCGUUUGUGACAUGUCCUCUGUCUCCGAAUGAUUCGAUAUGAAUGUUUCAGGGAUGGGAGGCUUCCCGAGCUCCGCGGAACGGGGAAUGUUUGGAACACGGAAUAUGAGUCUAAAUUGUCUAUCGGAGCAUCAGUGUUAGGUUAUAUGAUGUAAUACUUUGUUUUUAUCAAUAAAUAAUCAUCUAUUGGGAGUUCUUGUUGACUCUGACUGACUAUAUGGCAUUUCCAAGAAAUGUCAAGGUGUAAUACAUUAAAAGCUUUAAACAAGCUCGAAGCUUAAAACAUCCUGGACAUACCGUAGACAAUUUUGUGCGAUAGUUAUUUCAAUAAUGUUGUCAAUAAAAUCACAUCUUUUAACUGAUCUUCUGCAAAUAAAAAAUGCUUGCCAGCC
ensembl:lncRNA